rnacentral:lncRNA from 1 species
GGGGGCUACUCGUUAAAACUUACAAUAAAACAAAUUAAAAUAACCAAAUGAAAAACACUACCUACUCAAAAUAAUUUUAAAUUAAUUAAAAAGUAAAUUGUCUAAAUUAUGCAAUUUUAAGAACCCGCAGUAGAGCCCUGACAGGUAAAAAAUUUAUUUUAGAAACCUGACUGGUAGAGCCCAGACAGGUAUAAAUUUGAAAGAUGAGAAUACCUGCGGUUGAUCCCAACAGGUACUUUUAGAACCUGAGUGGUAGAGCCCAGAC